GGUGGGGAAAAAAAUAAAAAAAAGAAAAAGAAAUAUGGCCGCGUUAACAUUGUUGUUGGCACACCUGUUUUAUUCUUUGUUCAAAAUUGAAAUGAUAAAAAAAUUGAAUUGAAUUGAGAAUUUAAUGAUGGCUGGUCCAGUGAUGAUUGAGUUUUUAAAGAACAGCAAAUGUUUUUGCUUUUUAAAUAAAAAUAAUGUUGCUGCUCCAAAAUCACUUACUCCAAGAUGACUAUGUUGGCACAUGAGGCUAUUCAAGAUGCUCCAUUUAUGUACUGAAAAUUCAUAGAGAUGCAAACUCUUGACUUGAGUUCAAAUUCAACCCAACACAUUGUUAUUUGCAGAGAUAAUCUACAUGAAAAAAAACAGACAUCUCUUCAUGUUUUAGAGUGUUGCAGAGGUGUUGAGAUUAAUAAAUAAUAAUGUUGUCCCUGGAGAUUUGAUGAAUACACAUCUCACCUAGUGAAAAAAAUUUUAAAUGGUAAAUAAAUAUUUAAACAAUUUAUUGUAUAUUUAGUAUAUUUUUUAUGAUUUUUUAAAUGAUGAGU